CAGUCGCCGCGGUAAUACGUAGGGGGCAAGCGUUGUCCGGAAUUAUUGGGCGUAAAGCGCGCGCAGGCGGUUCUUUAAGUCUGGUGUAUAAGUGCGGGGCUCAACCCCGUGAGGCACUGGAAACUGGGGAACUUGAGUGCAGAAGAGGAGAGCGGAAUUCCACGUGUAGCGGUGAAAUGCGUAGAGAUGUGGAGGAACACCAGUGGCGAAGGCGACUCUCUGGUCUGUAACUGACGCUGAGGAGCGAAAGCAUGGGGAGCGAACAGGAUUAGAGACCCCUGUAGUCCCUGUCUCUUAUACA
rnacentral:rRNA from 1 species